rnacentral:tRNA from 2 species
GGGGGAUUAGCUCAGUUGGCUAGAGCGCCUGCCUUGCAAGCAGGAGGUCAAGAGUUCGACUCUCUUAUUCUCCACCA